rnacentral:tRNA from 1 species
GCCCGUGUGGCCCCGGGAAUAGAGCAUCAGCCUGAGGACUGAAGGGUUGCCGGUUCGAUUCCGGCCAAGGGCU